rnacentral:rRNA from 1 species
UCGGGAAUAUUGCGCAAUGGAGGAAACUCUGACGCAGUGACGCCGCGUAUAGGAAGAAGGUUUUCGGAUUGUAAACUAUUGUCAACAGGGAAGAACAAAGACAGUACCUGUGGAGGAAGCUCCGGCUAACUAUGUGCCAGCAGCCGCGGUAAUACAUAGGGAGCAAGCGUUAUCCGGAAUUAUUGGGUGUAAAGGGUGCGUAGACGGGCAAGCAAGUUAGUUGUGAAAUCCCUCGGCUUAACUGAGGAACUGCAACUAAAACUACUAGUCUUGAGUACGAGAGAGGAAAGUGGAAUUCCUAGUGUAGCGGUGAAAUGCGUAGAUAUUAGGAGGAACACCAGUGGCGAAGGCGACUUUCUGGCUCGAAACUGACGUUGAGGCACGAAAGUGUGGGGAGCAAACA